rnacentral:lncRNA from 1 species
AGAAAGUCCUCAUGUCAAAAGCUGCGGUUCUUUUCAUCAGCCUGAACCCGAACCUGUCGUUAUGGAUAACUCAGGUUUUUGUCAUCAACUAUAUCAUCUUUUUUACUGUUUUGAAACUCUUAAGAUUAAACUUCAGUAAAGUUGUUUCAGUUAUCCAUGUAAUCAGGCCAAGGAUAUUUAGCAGCUUAUUUAGGCAACUGCCAGAAUUGAGUUUGUUUGCUCGAAACUUGUAUGGUGACAAGGAUACUGGCAAGGAUAGUGAGAUAGUUUUUUGUGUGAGUGAAAUUUGAAAGCUUGGGUGUUCUGGGAUUUGCAAUUGCAAUCAUCCUCUGAGUCAGGUGAUUUCUUCUCCUGCUCUGUCUUGAUUUUCUCUCUAAUUGAAAGCAUAAAGUAUUUCAAUCAAAUUCUGUACCAGGAGUACAUAAAAGUUACUAAUAUUUUAUUUCCAUCUGUUUGCAUUGAUAACUCGGCAUAUGUUCUAGUUAAAGAACAAACAGAAACAGAGUUCAGGAAAAAGUUUCUUCGGCCACCAUAUUUGAAAAUGAAACCAUUUCCAGGAAGCAGUUGGCAGCAAAUUCAUAUGGAGUGUAGACAAUGAUGAGCAAAAAGGUGAUUCGCAAUUUCUUUUUUUUUUUAAGUGAAAUUAUUUGUUAGAUUGAAGCUGAUAUUGUAAGAAGGCCAUUGAGCUAACCUAUGUCGCCACUUGCCUAGAUUGCAGGGGGUCAAGACUCAAAAGAAGCACUGAAAUUUAAAAAGCAUGGAAUAGUUCUUUUGCCAUGUGUCAAUUAAUGCAAGUUUGAAUAAGUUUAUUGGCUGAACGAUGUUAGCUUCUUUUCCUUUCGUGCACUUUGGUAUGCUAUCAAGUGACAGCCGUAUGUAUGGCUUGCAUAUAGCUGCUGCUGGGAAAAUUGACGAUUUCAUGGCUGGCCGUGUUAUUGUCUUAAAUUAGUUGUGAUAAGCUGUUGCUUGGAGAUUCUGUUGCCAAGACUUUGCUCACAUCAGAAGCUGUGGAAUCUGAACCCUUCGUUAUGUAUCAUCUUUUUCAUUGUUUUAAAACUCUCAGGAUUAAACUUGAGCGAAUUUGUUCGGUUGUCUAUAUAAUCAUGUAUUGAGUAAACUCUCAGGAUACUGAGGGUGAGAGAAAUUAGAGGGUGUAUAGGGAUUUGGAUUUGUUAGGAAGUUAUCAUUUUUAUUUUUAUUUUUAUUUUUUUCCCAGAAAAUCUUCUGGUGGUGCUAUAUUUUCAAACGACAGUCCGAUUCAAAACUUGAUAUUCCAAUUAUAUUCAUAAGCUUCUAUAGUUAUCUUCAAAAAGACAAAUGGAAGGCUUUGAACGGCUUGGGUCUGAGUAUUGUAGUUUGAUUUAUUUUGAUGAAAGUACCUUUUGACAUUGAGAUU